GGGAAUUUUGGGCAAUGGGCGAAAGCCUGACCCAGCAACGCCGCGUGAGGGAUGAAGUAUUUCGGUAUGUAAACCUCGAAAGAAUGGGAAGAAUAAAUGACGGUACCAUUUACAAGCUCCGGCUAACUACGUGCCAGCAGCCGCGGUAAUACGUAGGGAGCAAGCGUUGUUCGGAUUUACUGGGCGUAAAGGGCGCGUAGGCGGCGCGGUAAGUCACUUGUGAAAUCUCUGAGCUUAACUCAGAACGGCCAAGUGAUACUGCUGUGCUAGAGUGCGGAAGAGGCAACCGGAAUUCUUGGUGUAGCGGUGAAAUGCGUAGAUAUCAAGAGGAACACCUGAGGCGAAGGCGGGUUGCUGGGCCGACACUGACGCUGAUGCGCGAAAGCCAGGGGAGCAAACG
rnacentral:rRNA from 1 species